rnacentral:tRNA from 1 species
GGACGAAUAGCUCAGUUGGGUAGAGCGCACGACCGAUAAUCGUGAGGCCGGAGGUUCGAGCCCUUCUUCGUCCACCA